rnacentral:rRNA from 1 species
UCGCACCUACCGAUUGAAUGGUCCGGUGAAGCCUCGGGAUUGUGGCCAGUGCCUUUAUUGGGGCUUGGCCGCGGGAACUUGUCUGAACCUUAUCAUUUAGAGGAAGGUG